rnacentral:tRNA from 34 species
AAUUCCUACUGGAUGCACGCCAAUGGGACCCUCCAAUAAGUCUAUUGGAAUUGGCUCUGUAUCAAUGGAAUCUC